AAAACGGUCCUUUUAAGGACCACCAAAUAAAUAUAAUAUAAGUUCAU
rnacentral:ncRNA from 1 species